UCAUUAAAGAGUUCUAUAACUCCCAAACCCAUGUGAACAUACCUAACGUUGCCUCGGCAGGUCGCACCUACCUUGUAGCACCCUACCCUGUAGGGCCUACCCGGGAGGUGCGGGUAAGCCUGCCGGCGGCCCACCAAACUCUGUUUGAUAUUGAAUUCUGAACCUAUAACUAAAUAAGUUAAAACUUUCAACAACGGAUCUCUUGGUUCUGGCAUCGAUGAAGAACGCAGCGAAAUGCGAUAAGUAAUGUGAAUUGCAGAAUUCAGUGAAUCAUCGAAUCUUUGAACGCAUAUUGCGCCCAUUAGUAUUCUAGUGGGCAGGACCGUUCGAGCGUCAUUUCAACCCUUAAGCCUUCGUUGCUUAGUGUUGGGAGCCUACGGCAACGUAGCUCCUCAAAGUUAGUGGCGGAGUUGGUUCACACUCUAGACGUAGUAAUUUUUUAUCUCGCCUAUUAGUUGGACUAACCCCCUGCCGUAAAACCCCCAAUUUAUCAAGGUUGACCUCGAAUCGGUUCAGACAAACUCGCUAAAUUGAAGCAUCUUAGUCAGCGAAGGAAAAGAAACCAACAGGGAUUGCCCUAGUAACGGCGAGUGAAGCGGCAACAGCUCAAAUUUGAAAUCUGGCCCUCGGGUC
rnacentral:rRNA from 1 species